rnacentral:rRNA from 1 species
UACGUAGGGUGCAAGCGUUAUCCGGAAUCACUGGGCGUAAAGCGUGCGUAGGUGGGAAAUUAAGUGAGAUGUGAAAUCGUGUGGCUCAACCAUAUCGUUGUAUCUCAUACUGGGUUCCUAGAGGACGGCAGAGGCAAGUGGAACUAGCAGUGUAGCAGUGAAAUGCGUAGAUAUCUGAAGGAACAUCAGUGGCGAAAGCGACCUCCUGGACCAAUACUGACGCUCAUGUGCGAAAGCGUGGGGAGCAAACAGG